rnacentral:lncRNA from 1 species
UGAGAUCACUACAGGAAAUGUGGGUAUUAAUAGCUGGCGUUAAACGCUAUAAGUUCGUUUUAAUAGUGUUUCCUAAAACACUCUGACAGCACCCGUUAUCAUAGGUCCUCCGACUCUUUUGAUAGCAGAUUUGUUGUAUGCUAUAGUUAAAUAUACAACGAUAGCAUUAAUUUCUUUGCAAUUGUUAAUAUUUAUAAUAACGUCAUAGAAAUGUUAUUAAACCCCACUAAUUUGAUUUUUACUAUUGCAGUUUGUCAUCCAUUUUACAGAUUUGGCUUUUUUAAUUGUAGCUUUUAUGAUUCCAGUUAAUUUUAUAAACGCAAUUUCUUUUAGAAAUACAAAAGAAAAUGAAAGUGCAAAUUUUACAUUAAACAUGAAAAUUUUACAAAUCUACUUCCAUCCAAACGUAUCAAGUUCAACAAACACCAACAACAUAAAUUUCCCCAUACUCAUAACACCAACAACAAAUAUCCCCAUGUCCACUGAUCAGUGUUUUCUUCAUAUUCAUCCUCUGAAUUAACCUCAUCUUCACACAGAUCAUGAACUGUGCUCACAAACUCAAGAACCUUGUGCAGCCUGUCACUCUACCAACACGUUAACUACACAUCAUCUCCAUUGCUUGAGAUGUCACAGCUAAAGUUUUUGUAAACAAGACACUCGGGACUUGGCAGCCUGUUGAACUUUACUCUUGUAAACAAGACACUCUUGCUCAUCGCUCUCACCAACUUCAUCCAAGAUUUCCUGUUGUAAAAAAAUAUUCACGCCACAAAAGAACUAAUAAAAGCCCGGCAACUUCGGUAAAAAAAAAAAGAAAUGGUUGAGAGAUU